CUCAGACAUCUAAGCUGGCUCCUAAAGAGAAGUAAGUAAAAGUUCAUCAGAUGAAGAAUAGAAGGUGUUUUCUAGGUGGAUGGAGGAAGAGAUAUUUACAAAGCCAGGAGGUGUGAGGGAACCUCACAUUCAGGGGAAAUGCAAGAAUAUAUGGAGGACAAGAAGAUGGAAAGAGAGGGCAGUCAGAAAAAUCAGCAAGACAGAGAAAUAACCAAGAGAAAUGAGCAAAGCCCGACUGUUGUUCCUACUUUGGCCAUUGGAGCUCUUUCCAGUUAGCUUCUCUUCCUUGGACAGCUUCCAUACGUUUUUGAGCACUUCCUUAUUUCUGACACCAGAAGAUGACUCAGGCUUGACUUGUAUUCUCCCCGUCCAACAAUGGAAUCUGCCAUUUCUCCAAGGAGCCCUGAUUCCUUUUAUUUGAGCGUGGUACAUAGAAGCUGAGCAACUUUUUCUCUCUUUCUAAUAAAUGCUAAUUCAGGAAAAAUAAAAAACUUAUAAAACAAAACUUCUCCUCUCAAAAUAAAAAUAAUUUUACGCAGUCCCAUAAGAGAAUACACAUUUUAAAAAUAUGUACAGCCUAUGCAAUUGACUAGAAUAGUGUUGGUGAGAACAUUCACACUGGCUUUAAUUAAAAAUUAAUGGUUAAUAUUUUUGCACUUUUAUGAAGCAACAGAAAUCUGAUCUUUAGUACUGAGAUAAAGUUUUUGUGUUUGAUGCAGUUUGCCCACCCAAACUAUCUGCGGGCUACAGUUUGCCCAUUUCUAUUCUAGAUUGCUGUUGGGGUAGAUUAGAAUUGUUGAGCGAAUUGACUAAAUUGCUCCAGUCUUUUUGAAAGGCCCAGUUGUCCCUUUGAAAUAUUUAUGGGUUUUUGAAUAAAGGUAGAAAUUAACCCUCCCACUCUUAAAACUUGAAACUUAUAUGUGUCUCAUCUGAGUGGUUUCCUCAGGAAACAGACCCUCACGCAAGGGACUGAAACUCACCAGAUCACCAUAUCCAGACCAUGAGAUCUAAGGUCUCUUACCCAUCGUGAUUGCUCCCUUACCCCUCCCUCAUUCCUGUAUUCCUGCAUGUAGUGACAUCCCUUCUCUGCUAUGUAAGCCCCAAAUUUUAGUGGGUCAAGGAAAAGGAUUUGAGACUUAUCUCCUGUUCUUCUUGACUGCAGCUCACAAAUAAAGUCUUCUUUCCUGGCAAUACUUCUUGUAUCAGGCAUUGGCAUUCUGUAUGGUGAGCAAUGGGAUCUAGACCAAACCCCUGGCAUUUGGUAACAAUUUAAUUUCAUGUCACUGGGUCAUCAUUAUAUAACUUGAGUAAUAGGUGGCAUCAUCUACCUCCUUUUCCUCCUCUUUCUUCUUCC
rnacentral:lncRNA from 10 species